rnacentral:rRNA from 1 species
AAAACAUUAUUGAACGCUGGCGGCAUGCCUUACACAUGCAAGUCGAACGGCAGCACGGGUGCUUGCACCUGGUGGCGAGUGGCGAACGGGUGAGUAAUACAUCGGAACAUGUCCUGUAGUGGGGGAUAGCCCGGCGAAAGCCGGAUUAAUACCGCAUACGAUCUACGGAUGAAAGCGGGGGACCUUCGGGCCUCGCGCUAUAGGGUUGGCCGAUGGCUGAUUAGCUAGUUGGUGGGGUAAAGGCCUACCAAGGCGACGAUCAGUAGCUGGUCUGAGAGGACGACCAGCCACACUGGGACUGAGACACGGCCCAG